UGCGGUGACAAAAAACAGCGUUUUUGAACGUUGGCUAUGCCAACGGCUCUGAAGGAGCGAAUAAAUCACCGAGGUGAUUUAUGAGUAAAAUU
rnacentral:ncRNA from 1 species